GGGGGAGUAACUACUGGAAACGGUAGCUAAUACCGCAUAACGUCUCCGGACCAAAGUGGGGGACCUUCGGGCCUCACACCAUCGGAUGUGCCCAGAUGGGAUUAGCUUGUAGGUAGGGUAAUGGCUCACCUAGGCGACGAUCCCUAGCUGGUCUGAGAGGAUGACCAGCCACACUGGAACUGAGACACGGUCCAG
rnacentral:rRNA from 1 species